AGAAUUAAAGGACGGAACAGGCAGCCGUCACCCUGUAUGUAUCGCAUACGGUUAGGAGAUGUGGGAAUAGUCACCCUGCUUAAUUCU
rnacentral:ncRNA from 12 species